rnacentral:rRNA from 1 species
UGGGGAAUUUUGGACAAUGGGCGCAAGCCUGAUCCAGCAAUGCCGCGUGCAGGAUGAAGGCCUUCGGGUUGUAAACUGCUUUUGUACGGAACGAAAAAGCUCUCUCUAAUACAGGGGGUGAAUGACGGUACCGUAAGAAUAAGCACCGGCUAACUACGUGCCAGCAGCCGCGGUAAUACGUAGGGUGCAAGCGUUAAUCGGAAUUACUGGGCGUAAAGCGUGCGCAGGCGGUUUUGUAAGACAGAGGUGAAAUCCCCGGGCUCAACCUGGGAACUGCCUUUGUGACUGCAAAGCUGGAGUGCGGCAGAGGGGGAUGGAAUUCCGCGUGUAGCAGUGAAAUGCGUAGAGAUGUGGAGGAACACCGAUGGCGAAGGCAGCCCCCUGGGCCUGUACUGACGCUCAUGCACGAAAGCGUGGGGAGCAAACA